UUCCAGCUGACGAGUCCAAAAUCGGAUGAAACGCGAGUCCUUGAU
rnacentral:hammerhead_ribozyme from 1 species